CAUAUCUCUCUUACGGGAAGGAUAAGAAGCUUCGACUAAGGUUCGAUUCGAGCGAAAGCGAGAAAGCGUUGCCGCAGGCAACGACCCGAAGGGCGAAGCGCGCAGCGCUGAGUCAUCCUUCCCCCACCACCA
rnacentral:sRNA from 3 species